AACAGGAUUAGAUACCCUGGUAGUCCACGCCGUAAACGAUGGAUACUAGCUGUUCGGUAGCAAUACUGAGUGGCUAAGCGAAAGUGAUAAGUAUCCCACCUGGGGAGUACGAACGCAAGUUUGAAACUCAAAGGAAUUGACGGGGGCCCGCACAAGCGGUGGAGCAUGUGGUUUAAUUCGAUGAUACGCGAGGAACCUUACCAGGGCUUAAAUGUAGUGGGACAGGCUUGGAAACAGGCCCUUCUUCGGACUCAUUACAAGGUGCUGCAUGGUUGUCGUCAGCUCGUGCCGUGAGGUGUCAGGUUAGGUCCUAUAACGAGCGCAACCCCUGUUGUUAGUUGCCAGCGAGUAAUGUCGGGAACUCUAACAAGACUGCCGGUGCAAACCGUGAGGAAGGUGGGGAUGACGUCAAAUCAUCACGGCCCUUACGUCCUGGGCUACACACGUGCUACAAUGGCCGGUACAGAGAGCAGCCACUGGGCGACCAGGAGCGAAUCUAUAAAGCCGGUCACAGUCCGGAUUGGAGUCUGCAACCCGACUCCAUGAAGCUGAAAUCGCUAGUAAUCGGAUAUCAGCCAUGAUCCGGUGAAUACGUUCCCGGGCCUUGUACACACCGCCCGUCAAGCCAUGGAAGCUGGGGGUACCUGAAGUCGGUGACCGCAAGGAGCUGCCUAGGGUAAAACUGGUAACUGGGGCUAAGUCGUAACAAGGUAACC
rnacentral:rRNA from 1 species